rnacentral:lncRNA from 1 species
UCUCUUUCAGUCAUGAAGGACGUUUGUUGAAUACUGAAGCUCAUAGUUUAGCUAGAUAUGCUUUGCAUCUAGGGGAAGGACGCCAUGUUUGGCUCCUACAACCUUUUGAUAGCCUUCUUAUACCUGUAAACCUUACUAUUGAUCAAUAAAGCAAAGCAGUUUUCCCUAAAAAAACUACAAACGAAGCAAUGUCUCGAAAAAAAAACCUACAUCGGAAGCCACCACACAGGAAAAAAAAUCUCCAGGGAACCUAC